rnacentral:rRNA from 1 species
GGCGCACCAGUGCGAAUUUUGCUCAAUGGACGAAAGUCUGAAGCAGCAACGCCGCGUGAGGGAUGAAGGCCUUCGGGUUGUAAACCUCUUUUAUCAGGGACGAUAAUGACGGUACCUGAUGAAUAAGCCACGGCUAACUACGUGCCAGCAGCCGCGGUAAUACGUAGGUGGCAAGCGUUGUCCGGAUUUACUGGGCGUAAAGAGCGCGCAGGCGGUCGUUUAAGUCGAAUGUGAAAGCCCCCGGCUCAACUGGGGAGGGUCAUUCGAUACUGGUCGACUUGAAGGCAGGAGAGGGUAGUGGAAUUCCCGGUGUAGUGGUGAAAUGCGUAGAUAUCGGGAGGAACACCAGUGGCGAAGGCGACUACCUGGCCUGUUCUUGACGCUGAGGCGCGAAAGCUGGGGGAGCAAACGGGAUUAGAUACCCUGGUAGA